AUGUUUGAGUCUGUUUGGACAAACGAAUCAACCCUCAACAUCCAGGUGGAAUUCAACAGCUCCUCUGCUGGUUGUCUGGAGGUCCAGUUCUUCUGGCUUCACCUGUGGAUGACGUCAGAAGCUCCCCCUCGCCUCCUCACAGCCCCGGGCCCCGCGCGCUCCGGCUCCGCCCCUGCUGCUCCUCCUCUUCCUCGGCUGCAUCUUCAUCCUCCAGCUGCCUCCAUCAUGUCUGGGAGCCAACCCGGGACGAAGCGCGUCUGCCCCCGCCGCCGACGGCCGCCCUCGUGCCGGGUCGGGUAGCUUCGCUCUGCGGCUCGGUUCGGUCCAGAAACGGUCGUGUGGUUCGGGCCGCCUUCGUGAUGCUGCGCCACGGGUUGUUUACGCGCCGAGUGAUGAAGACGCAGCAGCGCGGGAUGAAGAAGAGGAGCUCCAGCGAUGCCGAACCUGUAAGAAUCCGCCUUCUCUGUAGAACCGAUGGUUCGGUUCGGUUCGGCGCGGACUGAGCGGGGUUUUUCGGUGAGCAGCUUCUCCUGCUAAAGAUGUCAGGAGGAAGGCCUUCAUCAUCAGCAUCCUCCUCCUAAUCUGAUCUGGUCCAGAUGAAGGUGACGGACCGAACAUUCGGUUCCGACCAAGUUUAGAGUUUUCAAAACCCAAUUGAGCGAAAUUUUAGAAAUGUAUUUUGUUUAGAACCAGAAUCUGAGUCCAGAACCACAAACGCACUGGAUCCUGAAGAACCUCUGACCCAUUCAACCUGCAGGUUCUGUUCAGCUUGAUUCAAGUUUGUGAAGCUCCCUAAGAUGAGGAGAAGUCUUCUGAGAUUAACCCCUGAAGUUCUGAUUAGUUACAGCUGAAGUUACUAUAGUAACGUCUCAAGUUACUUUAGUAACCAUAGUUACUGCUGUCGUUAUGUAAGUAACAAAUGAAGUUACUAUAGUAACUACCGUUACUAAAGUAAUUAUAUAUUAACAUCUGAAGCUACUAUUUUAACAACAGUUACUUUCAUAAAUACAACUGUAACACUGUAACGUCUAAAGGUACUCUAGUAACUAUAUGUGCUGCUGUAGUUACAUCAGUCGGGUCUUAAGCUAUUACAGUAACAACAGUUACUGUCAUAUUUACAUUAGUAACACCUGAAGUUCCUUAGUAACACAGUAGUUACACUGUUUUAGUUACAAUAGUAACUCCUGACAUUUUCAUGUUAAAUGUAGUUACUGUUACAAUAGUAACUACUGCAACUAUUACUCUAGUUACUCCAGUAACUUGCAGGAAUCAAAACACCAAGGUUCAGUAGAAAUGUGAAGAGCUUGUGGGCGGGGCCUGAUCAGGCAGGUUUGACCACUGAUUGGUUCUGUUGUGUAUAGACCGGUUCUCCUGCUGGAACAGGAAGUCCGCGGUUGGAUUCCUGGGGGGUCUGAGCUCCUCUGGGGGGUCUGAGCUCCUCUGGGGGGUCUGAGCUCCUCUGGGGGGUUGCUAGGAUCCAACUCCAGCUCAGUCAGCAGAGCCGUCCCUCCCGGGACGCUGCUCCUUCUUGAUGAAGAUCCUCAGAGGACAUCCGGGUCCCGCAGACGGCAGAACCGGUCCCA
rnacentral:lncRNA from 1 species